rnacentral:rRNA from 1 species
UGAUGCAGCCAUGCCGCGUGUGUGAAGAAGGCCUUCGGGUUGUAAAGCACUUUCAGCGAGGAGGAAAGGUUAGUAGUUAAUACCUGCUAGCUGUGACGUUACUCGCAGAAGAAGCACCGGCUAACUCCGUGCCAGCAGCCGCGGUAAUACGGAGGGUGCGAGCGUUAAUCGGAAUUACUGGGCGUAAAGCGUGCGCAGGCGGUUUGUUAAGCGAGAUGUGAAAGCCCCGGGCUCAACCUGGGAACCGCAUUUCGAACUGGCAAACUAGAGUCUUGUAGAGGGGGGUAGAAUUCCAGGUGUAGCGGUGAAAUGCGUAGAGAUCUGGAGGAAUACCGGUGGCGAAGGCGGCCCCCUGGACAAAGACUGACGCUCAGGCACGAAAGCGUGGGGAGCAAACAGGAUUAGAUACCCUGGUAGUCCACGCCGUAAACGAUGUCUACUCGGAGUUUGGUGUCUUGAACACUGGGCUCUCAAGCUAACGCAUUAAGUAAACCGCCUGGGGAGUACGGCCGCAAGGUUAAAACUCAAAUGAAUUGACGGGGGCCCGCACAAGCGGUGGAGCAUGUGGUUUAAUUCGAUGCAACGCGAAGAACCUUACCUACUCUUGACAUCCAGAGAACUUUCCAGAGAUGGAUUGGUGCCUUCGGGAACUCUGAGACAGGUGCUGCAUGGCUGUCGUCAGCUCGUGUUGUGAAAUGUUGGGUUAAGUCCCGCAACGAGCGCA